UACGAUCGCGCAGUGUAGUUCCGACGAUUGGCGUAACGCGACGCGCGUAACGUAACGAGCCCGCGUGUGUUACUUUUCCCUUAUCGCCGUUACGCAUUGCGCUUUUCGAAUACGAAGCCGAUAUUAACGAAUCCUUUUUGUUUUCGCCCGUUUCCGGGACCGGUGCGCGUUAUCCUUUCUUGGGGGGGCAACUGUACGUUAAGAACGGCACUGCGGCAGUGAAGUUAAUAGUUACUGCAGUGCUAGUAGACGAGGAGUAGUUUUUCUUUCCUUCAUACACCGAUGUUCGUAUGAAACCACAGAAACAAAACGUACACGUACACAAACGAAACCCCCAACCCAGCCGGUGCUAAAUCCGAAGGCAUAACAAACUCCCAAAAA